UACGGGGGGAGCAAGCGUUGUUCGGAUUUACUGGGCGUAAAGGGCGCGUAGGCGGUCGUGACAAGUCACUUGUGAAAUCUCCGGGCUUAACUCGGAACGGUCAAGUGAUACUGUCGGACUAGAGUACAGAAGGGGCAACUGGAAUUCUCGGUGUAGCGGUGAAAUGCGUAGAUAUCGGGAGGAACACCCGUAGCGAAGGCGGCCGACUGGACCACACCUGACGCUGAGGCGCGAAGGCCAGGGGAGCGAACGGG
rnacentral:rRNA from 1 species